UAAAUCAAAAGGUGAAGUCCAAAGUAAAACC
rnacentral:piRNA from 1 species